CAAAAAUUAUUUCAAAUGUAAUCAAAUUUGUGGAACAACCGGAAAAAAGAGGUGGAAAACGAAAAACUUCCGUGAAAGACAAUCGCAGAACGGACACUACGUGAAGCUGGAUUAGCAGCUCGCACCCCACGAAAAAUGCCACCCUUGGCACCAAAACAUAAGGCUGAACAGCUGAAAUGAGGCGUAAUAUUCUAUGAACUGACGAGUCUAAAAUAGUUGUAUAUGGCGACACGAGUUCACGAUAAUAUGUGUUUGACAUCCACCUGGCACCGAAAAUCAGCCAUUCGCUCUAAAAACCAUUAAACAUGCGCCUGAAUUUCUAUCUUUUGUUAUAAAAUUUUUGAUUUUUUGUUAUAGAAUUGAUUUAAAUAUGUGUUCAGUUAAAAAAUAGAAUAAUACUUCAAAAUAAUAAUAAAAUCUUUCUAAUCACGCCACAGA